rnacentral:rRNA from 1 species
GACGAACGCUGGCGGCGUGCCUAAUACAUGCAAGUCGAGCGAAGUUUUUCUGGUGCUUGCACUAGAAAAACUUAGCGGCGAACGGGUGAGUAACACGUAAAGAACCUGCCUCAUAGACUGGGACAACUAUUGGAAACGAUAGCUAAUACCGGAUAACAGCAUUAACUGCAUGGUUGAUGUUUAAAAGUUGGUUUUGCUAACACUAUGAGAUGGCUUUGCGGUGCAUUAGCUAGUUGGUGGGGUAAAGGCCUACCAAGGCGACGAUGCAUAGCCGACCUGAGAGGGUGAUCGGCCACACUGGGACUGAGACACGGCCCAGACUCCUACGGGAGGCAGCAGUAGGGAAUCUUCCGCAAUGGGCGAAAGCCUGACGGAGCAACGCCGCGUGAGUGAAGAAGGAUUUCGGUUCGUAAAGCUCUGUU